GAUGAACGCUGGCGGCGUGCCUAAUACAUGCAAGUCGAGCGAACGGACGAGAAGCUUGCUUUUCUGAUGUUAGCGGCGGACGGGUGAGUAACACGUGGAUAACCUACCUAUAAGACUGGGAUAACUUCGGGAAACCGGAGCUAAUACCGGAUAAUAUUUUGAACCGCAUGGUUCAAAAGUGAAAGACGGUCCUGCUGUCACUUAUAGAUGGAUCCGCGCUGCAUUAGCUAGUUGGUAAGGUAACGGCCUACCAAGGCAACGAUGCAUAGCCGACCUGAGAGGGUGAUCGGCCACACUGGAACUGAGACACGGUCCAGACUCCUACGGGAGGCAGCAGUAGGGAAUCCUCCGCAAUGGGCGAAAGCCUGACGGAGCAACGCCGCGUGAGUGAUGAAGGUCUUCGGAUCGUAAAACUCUGUUAUUAGGGAAGAACAUAUGUGUAAGUAACUGUGCACAUCUUGACGGUACCUAAUCAGAAAGCCACGGCUAACUACGUG
rnacentral:rRNA from 1 species